rnacentral:rRNA from 1 species
CCUACGGGAGGCAGCAGUGGGGAAUAUUGGGCAAUGGGCGCAAGCCUGACCCAGCAACGUCGCGUGAAGGAAGAAGGCUUUCGGGUUGUAAACUUCCUUUCUGAGGGACGAAAAAAGUGACGGUACCUCAGGAAUAAGCCACGGCGAACUAAGUGCCAGCAGCACCGGUUAGACGUAGGUGGCAAGCGUUAUCCGGAUUUAUUGGGUGUAAAGGGCGUGUAGGCCGGAAAGCAAGUCAGAUGGGAAAACUGAGUGCGCAACCCUGGGCCAGCAUUUGAAACUGUUUUUCUUGAGUGCGGGAGAGGCAAGCGGAAUGCCGGGUGUAGCGGUGAAAUGCGUAGAUAUAAGGAGGAACACCGGUGGCGAAGGCAGAUUGCUGGACAGUAACUGACGCUGAGGCGCGAAAGCGUGGGGAGCGAACAGGAGUAGAUACCCUUGUAGUC